rnacentral:rRNA from 1 species
UUUAAUGAGAGUUUGAUCCUGGCUCAGGACGAACGCUGGCGGCGUGCCUAAUACAUGCAAGUAGAACGCUGAAGGAGGAGCUUGCUUCUCUGGAUGAGUUGCGAACGGGUGAGUAACGCGUAGGUAACCUGCCUGGUAGCGGGGGAUAACUAUUGGAAACGAUAGCUAAUACCGCAUAAGAGUAGAUGUUGCAUGACAUUUGCUUAAAAGGUGCACUUGCAUCACUACCAGAUGGACCUGCGUUGUAUUAGCUAGUUGGUGGGGUAACGGCUCACCAAGGCGACGAUACAUAGCCGACCUGAGAGGGUGAUCGGCCACACUGGGACUGAGACACGGCCCAGACUCCUACGGGAG